GGAAUCUUGCGCAAUGGACGAAAGUCUGACGCAGCGACGCCGCGUGAGCGAUGAAGGCCUUCGGGUCGUAAAGCUCUGUGGGGAGAGACGACUAAGGCAUGGCUAAUAUCCAUGUCGAUGACGGUAUCUCCUUAGCAAGCACCGGCUAACUCCGUGCCAGCAGCCGCGGUAAUACGGAGGGUGCGAGCGUUAUCCGGAAUUACUGGGUUUAAAGGGUGCGUAGGCGGCGUAGUAAGUCAGGAGUGAAAGUUUGCGGCUCAACCGUAAAAUUGCUUUUGAUACUGCUAUGCUAGAAUUAGGAUGAGGUCAGCGGAAUGUGGCAUGUAGCGGUGAAAUGCAUAGAUAUGCCAUAGAACACCAAUUGCGAAGGCAGCUGGCUAGACCUGGAUUGACGCUGAGGCACGAAAGCGUGGGGAGCGAAC
rnacentral:rRNA from 1 species